GUCUAUAUGAAUAAAAUAUUUAGUCUGGCCUGCCCACUGAAAUUUUAAAGGGCUGCGGUAAUUUGACCGUGCAAAGGUAGCAUAAUCAAUAGUCUUUUAAUUGGAGGCUUGAAUGAAUGGUUUGACGGAAAGAAAAGUGUCUCCUUGUUUUAUAUUGAAAUUAACUUUUGUGUGAAAAGGCAUUAAUGUAUUAGUGGGACGAUAAGACCCUAUAAAACUUGACAUAUGACAUAUUGUUUCUUAGGAUUGAUUAUUAGUUAUAGAAUGGUAAGGUGUGUUUUGCUGGGGCGGCAUGAAUAUAAUUUGUAACUGUUUAUAAUAUGAAAUAUAAUUUUAUAGAUGUUGGUCCUUCAUUGAGGAGGUAAGAGUAAGUUACUUUAGGGAUAACAGCAUAAUUUUUCUUGAGAGUUCUUAUCAAAGGAAGUAGUUGUGACCUCGAUGUUGAAUUAAAUUUUCUUUUAGGUGCAGUAGUUUGGGAAGAGGGCCUGUUCGGCCUAUAAAUAUUUACAUGAUUUGAGUUCAAACCGGUGUGAG
rnacentral:rRNA from 1 species